rnacentral:rRNA from 1 species
AAAUUAGCGGAUGAGCUGUGGAUAGGGGUGAAAGGCUAAACAAACUUGGAAAUAGCUGGUUCUCUCCGAAAACUAUUUAGGUAGUGCCUCAAGUAUUACCAUCGAGGGUAGAGCACUGUUAUGGCUAGGGGGUCAUGGCGACUUACCAAACCAUUGCAAACUCCGAAUACCGAUGAGUACAGCUUGGGAGACAGAGCACAGGGUGCUAACGUCCGGACUCAAGAGGGAAACAACCCAGACCGCCAGCUAAGGUCCCCAAAAUUGGCUAAGUGGGAAACGAAGUGGGAAGGCUAAAACAGUCAGGAUGUUGGCUUAGAAGCAGCCAUCAUUUAAAGAAAGCGUAAUAGCUCACUGAUCGAGUCGUCCUGCGCGGAAGAUGUAACGGGGCUAAGCCAGUUACCGAAGCUGCGGAUGUGCAAUUUAUUGCAUGUGGUAGGAGAGCGUUCUGUAAGCCUGUGAAGGUGGCUUGUGAAGGCUGCUGGAGGUAUCAGAAGUGCGAAUGCUGACAUGAGUAGCGUUAAAGGGGGUGAAAAGCCCCCUCGCCGAAAGCGCAAGGUUUCCUACGCAACGUUCAUCGGCGUAGGGUGAGUCGGCCCCUAAGGCGAGGCAGAGAUGCGUAGCUGAUGGGAAACAGGUCAAUAUUCCUGUACCGAUUGCAAGUGCGAUGUGGGGACGGAGAAGGUUAGCUCAGCCAACUGUUGGAUAUGUUGGUUCAAGCGUGUAGUCGUGUCUCUUAGGCAAAUCCGGGAGAAUUAGAUGAGGCGUGAUAACGAGUCUGCUUGCAGACGAAGUGAGUGAUACCCUGCUUCCAAGAAAAGCCACUAAGCUUCAGCUUGUAAUUGACCGUACCGCAAACCGACACUGGUGCGCGAGAUGAGUAUUCUAAGGCGCUUGAGAGAACUCUGGAGAAGGAACUCGGCAAAUUGACACCGUAACUUCGGAAGAAGGUGUGCCUUUAGUAGGUGAACCAUUUACUUGGGGAGCCCAAUGAGGCCGCAGAGAAUCGGUGGCUGCAACUGUUUAUUAAAAACACAGCACUCUGCAAAGACGAAAGUCGACAUAUAGGGUGUGACUCCUGCCCGGUGCUGGAAGAUUAAAUGAUGGGGUGCAAGCUCUUGACUGAAGUCCCAGUAAACGGCCGCCGUAACAAUAACGGUCCUAAGGUAGCGAAAUUCCUUGUCGGGUAAGUUCCGACCUGCACGAAUGGAGUAAUGAUGGCCACACUGUCUCCUCCAGAGACUCAGCGAAGUUGAAAUGUUUGUGAUGAUGCAAUCUCCCCGCGGAAAGACGGAAAGACCCCAUGAACCUUUACUGUAGCUUUACAUUGGACUUUGAACAGAUCC